rnacentral:rRNA from 1 species
AGCAGCCGCGGUAAUUCCAGCUCCAAUAGCGUAUAUUAAAGUUGUUGCAGUUAAAAAGCUCGUAGUUGAAUUUCGGGACCAAUCUGCCGGUCGUGCCUCCGGUACGCACUGGUUUUAUUGGUUUCUCCCUUCUGACGAACCAUGAUGUCAUUAAUUUGGUGUCAUGGGGAAUCAGGACUGUUACUUUGAAAAAAUUAGAGUGUUUAUAGCAGGCUCACGCUUGAAUACAUUAGCAUGGAAUAAUGAAAUAGGACGUUUGACCCUAUUUUGUUGGUUUCUAGGAUCGACGUAAUGAUUAAUAGGGAUAGUUGGGGGCAUUAGUAUUCAAUUGUCAGAGGUGAAAUUCUUGGAUUUAUUGAAGACUAACUACUGCGAAAGCAUUUGCCAAGGAUGUUUUCAUUAAUCAAGAACGAAAGUUAGGGGAUUGAAGACGAUCAGAUACCGUCGUAGUCUUAACCAUAAACUAUGCCGACUAGGGAUCGGAUGAUGUAUUUUUAAUGACUCAUUCGACAACC